UAGGGAAUCUUCCACAAUGGACGCAAGUCUGAUGGAGCAACGCCGCGUGAGUGAAGAAGGUUUUCGGAUCGUAAAGCUCUGUUGUUGGUGAAGAAGGAUAGAGGCAGUAACUGGUCUUUAUUUGACGGUAAUCAACCAGAAAGUCACGGCUAACUACGUGCCAGCAGCCGCGGUAAUACGUAGGUGGCAAGCGUUGUCCGGAUUUAUUGGGCGUAAAGCGAGCGCAGGCGGAAUGAUAAGUCUGAUGUGAAAGCCCACGGCUCAACCGUGGAACUGCAUCGGAAACUGUCAUUCUUGAGUGCAGAAGAGGAGAGUGGAAUUCCAUGUGUAACGGUGGAAUGCGUAGAUAUAUGGAAGAACACCAGUGGCGAAGGCGGCUCUCUGGUCUGCAACUGACGCGGAGGCUCGAAAGCAUGGGUAGCGAACAGG
rnacentral:rRNA from 1 species